rnacentral:rRNA from 1 species
AGUGAACGCUGGCGGUAGGCCUAACACAUGCAAGUCGAACGGCAGCACAGUAAGAGCUUGCUCUUACGGGUGGCGAGUGGCGGACGGGUGAGGAAUACAUCGGAAUCUACUUUUUCGUGGGGGAUAACGUAGGGAAACUUACGCUAAUACCGCAUACGACCUACGGUUGAAAGCAUGGGAUCUUCUGACCUUGCGCGAGGGGAUGAGCCGAUGUCGGAUUAGCUAGUGGGCGGGGUAGUGGCCCACCAAGGCGAGGAUGGGUAGCUGGUGUGAGAGGGUGACCGGCCACAGUGGGACUGAGAGACGGCCCAGACUCCUACGGGAGGCAGCAGUGGGGAAUAUUGCACAAUGGGGGGAAGCCUGAGGCAGCAACGCCGCGUGCGGGAUGACGGCCGUCGGGUUGUAAACCGCUUUCGCCUGUGACGAAGCGGGAGUGACGGUAAUGGGUAAAGAAGCACCGGCUAACUACGUG